rnacentral:rRNA from 1 species
GACGAACGCUGGCGGCGUGCUUAACACAUGCAAGUCGUACGGUAAGGCCCUUUCGGGGGUACACGAGUGGCGAACGGGUGCGUAACACGUGAGUAACCUGCCCACAACUUUGGGAUAACGCUAGGAAACUGGUGCUAAUACUGGAUAUGUGCUCCUUCUGCAUGGUGGGGGUUGGAAAGCUCCGGCGGUUGUGGAUGGACUCGCGGCCUAUCAGCUUGUUGGUGGGGUAGUGGACUACCAAGGCGGCGACGGGUAGCCGGCCUGAGUGGGUGACCGGCGACAUUGGGACUGAGAGACGGCCCAGAUUCCGACGGGAGGCAGAAGUGGGGAAGAUUGCACAAUGGGCGCAAGCCGGAUGCAGCAGCGCCGCGGGCGGGAUGACGGCCUUCGGGUUGUAAACCGCUUUCAGCAGGGACGAAGCUUUUUGUGACGGUACCUGCAGAAGAAGCACCGGCUAACUACGUG